rnacentral:tRNA from 1 species
GCCUGGGUGGCUCAGUUGGUUAAGCUUCCAACUUCAGCUCGGGUCAUGAUCUCACAGUUCGUGGGUUCAAGUCCCACAUUGGGCU